UGCCAGCAGCCGCGGUAAUACGGAGGGGGCUAGCGUUGUUCGGAAUUACUGGGCGUAAAGCGCACGUAGGCGGAUUGGUCAGUUGGGGGUGAAAUCCCGAGGCUCAACCUCGGAACUGCCCUCAAUACUGCCAAUCUUGAGUUCGAGAGAGGUGAGUGGAAUUCCUAGUGUAGAGGUGAAAUUCGUAGAUAUUAGGAAGAACACCAGUGGCGAAGGCGGCUCACUGGCUCGAUACUGACGCUGAGGUGCGAAAGCGUGGGGAGCAAACAGGAUUAGAUA
rnacentral:rRNA from 1 species